GAUUCCGUAGCGGUAGUGGUUAUCACGUGCGCCUAACACGCGCAAGGUCCCGGUUCGAGCCCGGGCGGAAUCA
rnacentral:tRNA from 1 species